GCCUGAAUGGCUCAGUGGUUGAGCAUCUGACUUCAGAUCAGAGUGUGAUCCCAGGGUCCUGGGAUUGAGUCCCACACUGGGCU
rnacentral:tRNA from 1 species